GCCCGGGUGGAGCGGGGAUGACCAAGAGAGAAACAAAAGCAGAGGCUGUGGAACAUGCCGGGCUGUUGGAGGGGUCCGAGAGCCACCCCAGCCUCUGGGACCCCGUGGGGCUCCUCUGUACCCCGUGACCUAGCCUAUGAUGAGUCUUCGUCCCCUUUGAGGAGUGGCUCUCAAGGUGCGUGGGGCCACAGAGCAUUGGUCCCCAUAGUCAUCUCUGGCAGGUGGCCUUGCCCAGCCCAGACAGCUGCUCCCCAGGCAAGGACCUGGGGGUGGGGACCUGUGACAGCUGGGCCAGGCCUGGAGUCUGUGCCUCUCAGCCGCCCAGCCUGAGCUUCUAAAUUUAACCGGCUAUCGGCUUGAGUGGCUGGAACCUGCCACUGCACCUCAAAUGCCACUCGGAAUCCACUCUUCUCCCCACCAGCCUCCUAGCACGGUCUGCUUCCUGAAGGUGGAGCCAUGCCGCGUGCCCACGCGAAGAUCCGUAUUCCUGGGUGCCUGCUCCGUCCUGGCGUGACCCGGGCCCACUUUCUCUGCCCUUGGUUCCCUGGUUCCCCCCCACCCCCGUCUCUCCCUCUCUCUCUGUCUCUCACACACACACACACAGCCUCUGUGGGCAGCACUCAGGGACCAGCUCCACAACCAAAAGCCAAACCACGACAGUGACGGCCCCACCCAGAAGCUGUCGGCGUGGAGGGCGGCCAUGAGGCCUGUUAUGCAAUUUCCUGCGUUGGUUUCUCAGACGCAGAGGCAGGAUGCAGAGCGCUGUGCGGAACCCAGAGAAGAAACCAGAUCCCAGUGCCCACUGUGGCUGCUCGGGCACCCUUACCCCUCAGUUCUGCAGGAAGGCCGCCCACCACCGCGGCCUAGCUAGACGGCCCGGCUGGAAGGGCCACAGAGGACAGGCCGCACAGAGACUUCCGGGAAGAAGUGGGUGGGGAGAAAGGCAUUUCCUGCCCCAAGGACCCGGGAUGGAGGGAGCUACAGCUUGGGGCCUUCUUAAUAGUAGUAACUGGUGUGAGUCACCACUCAGGCCCUGUAGGCAGGAGCGAGAGGCUGGCUCUGGGCCAGGGUUCGAAUCCUGGCUCUGCCUCUUCACAGGCACAUGCCUGAGGUGGCUCCUUGAUUCUGCUCUGUAUCUCUUCAUCUGUGAAAUGUGGGUAACACCUCCCAGUGGGACUAUGUGAGGACACUGUAGGACGCGGUGAGUUCCCUCCUGGCACGUUAUGCCAUGUCGGCCAGGAGGCAGCCACUCUGAGGAUCCCUUCCUGUAUGAGGUCUGAGUGUCUGCCAAAGCUGCACACAGGUGGCCUUGACCCCUUGGUCCACCUGGAGUAAGCCCAGACCCAGCUAACAGCCCCCUCAGAGAAGCAGGCUUCAGCUGGAGGGGAGGACUUCCCCUGGGUACAGCCCACCUGCCCCCCCGGCAGGUUUGGAGGCCUACAGGGUGGGCUGAGGAGAACCCAGUCUGAACUCUGAUCACCCCAGACAACAGGUUCUGCUGUUUGUCCCAAAGCCAAGCUGCUCUCAAGUCCCAGCUUGACUGCCAGCUUGCCACCCUCCUCCAUGCAGGGCACUGACCACCUCCUCCACCUAGAUGCUGGCCAGGGGCACUUCUGGGUGCAGAGAUCCCCCAGCUGUGGACAGGAGCAGCUGUGCUGAGGGACUGGCUGGCCUCCCCACCUGCAGGUCCUCAGCACCAGAACCCCAGCCUCACACCGUCCUCCCCUACCAGUGGCCCCGUGGCCACCACACCAAGCCAUCAUCCCCGAAAUGAAUCACCACCCCAGAAACACCCAGAUCCUAGC
rnacentral:lncRNA from 1 species